CCCUCUAGUUUCUUUUACGACAUUUUUCUUUUUCUUCCUCUUGUCGAAAAACCUCAAACUCUAAAUUCUAAAAUUGGAAAAGGGUUUAUUCUUCCAAAUGAAGUUAGAUGGUGAAAUACUUGCAGAGAUUCGGAUCGGUUUGGUGUUGUUCUUCCGCAACUACGUUAUCGACGCUGCAACCAAUAAUUCUUCCUUCGACCAACUACUUCCAGUCAUCGACAACGUAUUCAAAUUUCUCCUCCUCAAUUUGUUUAUUUUGGGUUUCACUUUUUCUUUGUUACGCUGUGUUUCGUGCUUGCAGGCGUUGAAAUCCAAGCACAGUGACCAGGCUAUGCGUUUUGUUGAACUGGCUCUUCCAAUACGACCUUCUUUUCCAACUUGUGGUCGAGGCUCUCAUUGGUGUCGUUGCUAGAAAGCACGUGCACGAUUGCACGAUUGCACGAUCGCUACUUGUUGCUUGGUUUGUGCCUCCUUCUUUAGAAUAUGGUUGAAUUUGAAAGUUCUGCUCAUCAAUCCAUGUUGGUGGGAUACAAGAGAGGUAUGGAGAUUUGUUGUUUUUCACGCAUCUCCGGAUUUGGCCAACAUUGUUACUAAAAUAAGGUGAUGAAAGAUGGAAGAAUAGUGGAGUCAGGAAGGUAUAAAGAUCUUAUAGCAUGUCCCAACUCUGAAUUCGUUCAACAAAUGGCUGCUCAUCAUUUUUGUUACAUUAUACCUGUCAUAUUGUGUAAAAAUUGGUUGUCCCAAUUUGUUGUGUAUUUUAUCAUUUUUCUAUCCCAAUUCUCUGUUUCUCGUGGCCAAGCACAAUUUUACUUUUAGGUUGGUCGAUUAUUGUUUAAUUUCUU